rnacentral:tRNA from 1 species
GGAGAGGUGCCCGGAGUGGUUGAUCGGGGACCGGUCAUCGGCCGUUCGGGUCCUGUCGGGACCCACGCAGGUUCGAAUCCUGCCCUCUCCG